AGGAAAAAUGACAAGGAUGCAAGACUCCCGUAUUCUUUACUAUCUUAGUUUGGAAUAUGCAGAGCAAAGGAAACUAGAUACAGCAUUUUCUUAUGCAUCGCACUUGUUGAAAUUGGAAAAUGGAUCUAAUAUUAAAGGAUGGUUACUGUUGGCCAGGAUCUUAUCUGCUCAGAAACAAUAUGACGAUGCUGAAGCUGUUAUCAGUGCUGCCUUGGAUCAGACCGGGAAAUGGGAUCAGGGAGAACUGUUGAGAACUCAAGCUAAACUACAAAUUGCACAGGGUCAGUUAAAGAGUGCUGUUAAGACGUAUGGACAGCUUCUUGCCAUUCUUCAAGU
rnacentral:misc_RNA from 1 species